rnacentral:SRP_RNA from 1 species
UACGGCCCUGCCGACUUCGAAACGUGAACCCGCCAGGUCCGAAAGGGAGCAACGGUAGCGCGGAGGAGUGUGGUGGGGCCUUUCCC